GACGAACCGUGCGAACGUUAUUCGGAAUCACUGGGCUUAAAGCGCGUGUAGGCGGAUUGGCGCGUCGUUCGUUGAAAGCCCCCGGCUCAACCGGGGAAUUGGCGGCGAUACGGCUGGUCUUGAGGAGCGCAGGGGAACCUGGAACUUCCGGUGGAGCGGUGAUAUGCGUUGAGAUCGGAAGGAACGCCCGUGGCGAAAGCGAGGUUCUGGACGCUUGCUGACGCUGAGACGCGAAAGCUAGGGGAGCAAACGGG
rnacentral:rRNA from 1 species